rnacentral:tRNA from 1 species
UGGGGUAUAGCGCAGUUUGGUCAGCGCGCCUGAUUUGGGAUCAGGAGGUCGCAGGUUCAAAUCCUGUUGCCCCAA